rnacentral:ncRNA from 1 species
UGGCUCAAUACUAGUUCGAACGGACUUUGGUAUGACGCUACGUCCGCUGGAUUAUGCCUGAACGCCUCUAAGGUCGUAGCCAAUCCGGGCCGAUAGCACCUCUACCCCCCAUUAGGUGAUCGGAAGCUAGCGGGCCUAACAACCCCCCGAGACCCGUCGGCGGCAUCCCUCUGGAACGCCGGCGUCUCAUCCUCUACGCUUCACCAUACUGGGCCGCAUCGCGCGGAGUUGCACCUGCACGCGUUAGUACCCUACCACGGGGAACACCGGCGACCGCGACUCCGCCGACCGUGGACAGACCUAGUUUCGAACCCUACCGACCGCCCGCAAACGACGGGACUUCAGGCUGGGAGCUGCGAGUUGUAGAGAUGCGUUCGCAUCGAUCCUCUCAGGCGACCCAUGCUUGGUGGUUUGCG